AGAUCAUUAUGAUGGAAGAUUUUCAUGGUGUUAGCAUACAGAAGAAAGAACACUGCCCCUGGAGUCAGAGAACCUGAUUUCAAAUUCUGCCUCUGACAUUUAUUACCUGCAUAAAUUUGACCCUCUCUAAAGCAUCAUUCUUCAUGAAUCUACAAAGAUGGUUCCACAAUCAAACCUGAGAAAAAAGGAUGAGAAUUGAAUAAAACAAAAAGGAAACCUUCUGACUUUAUGAUCAAAAAGAAGGAGGAGCCAGAUGUGACAGAGACCCAGGAACCACAUAGAGUUCACUAUAUUAUCCCAAAUGAUAGCCUUGAUGCAUUCAGUCAUGAGACAUGCUGUGCACUGGAAAAGACCAAGACAAAAAAGACCAGAAUAGGACCAGCUAUAAACUCAUCACAUGCUACUCUGGAAAAGAUUCAGUUCAAAUUAAAAUCUACGGAGAAUAUUCUAGCCAGAGAAAUGGAAAGCAAUGGCUGUCAAGAAUAGGAGAGGAUUCAGCAAGCUAUGGAAAUUUGAGAAUAUCGCUGUAUCAAUUUAAAGAGUUUUCAGCAGUCUUCUUUCCAUUUACCACAGUAAAGACACAGCUUUUGUUUCCAGUGUGGAAGGGAGGAUGGUAA
ensembl:lncRNA